rnacentral:rRNA from 1 species
GGUUAAGUUAGAAAGGGCGCACGGUGGAUGCCUUGACACUAGGAGUCGAUGAAGGACGGGACUAACGCCGAUAUGCUUCGGGGAGCUGUAAGUAAGCUUUGAUCCGAAGAUUUCCGAAUGGGGAAACCCACCAUACGUAAUGGUAUGGUAUCCUUAUCUGAAUACAUAGGGUAAGGAAGACAGACCCAGGGAACUGAAACAUCUAAGUACCUGGAGGAAGAGAAAGCAAAUGCGAUUUCCUGAGUAGCGGCGAGCGAAACGGAACAUAGCCCAAACCAAGAGGCUUGCCUCUUGGGGUUGUAGGACAUUCUAUACGGAGUUACAAAGGAACGAGGUAGACGAAGCGACCUGGAAAGGUCCGUCGUAGAGGGUAACAACCCCGUAGUCGAAACUUCGUUCUCUCUUGAAUGUAUCCUGAGUACGGCGGAACACGUGAAAUUCCGUCGGAAUCUGGGAGGACCAUCUCCCAAGGCUAAAUACUCCCUAGUGAUCGAUAGUGAACCAGUACCGUGAGGGAAAGGUGAAAAGCACCCCGGAAGGGGAGUGAAAGAGAUCCUGAAACCGUGUGCCUACAAAUAGUCAGAGCCCGUUAACGGGUGAUGGCGUGCCUUUUGUAGAAUGAACCGGCGAGUUACGAUCCCGUGCGAGGUUAAGCUGAAGAGGCGGAGCCGCAGCGAAAGCGAGUCUGAAUAGGGCGUUUAGUACGUGGUCGUAGACCCGAAACCGGGUGAUCUACCCAUGUCCAGGGUGAAGUUCAGGUAACACUGAAUGGAGGCCCGAACCCACGCACGUUGAAAAGUGCGGGGAUGAGGUGUGGGUAGCGGAGAAAUUCCAAUCGAACCUGGAGAUAGCUGGUUCUCCCCGAAAUAGCUUUAGGGCUAGCCUUAAGUGUAAGAGUCUUGGAGGUAGAGCACUGAUUGGACUAGGGGUCCUCAUCGGAUUACCGAAUUCAGUCAAACUCCGAAUGCCAAUGACUUAUCCUUAGGAGUCAGACUGCGAGUGAUAAGAUCCGUAGUCAAAAGGGAAACAGCCCAGACCGCCAGCUAAGGUCCCAAAGUGUGUAUUAAGUGGAAAAGGAUGUGGAGUUGCUUAGACAACUAGGAUGUUGGCUUAGAAGCAGCCACCAUUUAAAGAGUGCGUAAUAGCUCACUAGUCGAGUGACUCUGCGCCGAAAAUGUACCGGGGCUAAAUACACCACCGAAGCUGCGGAUUGAUACCAAUGGUAUCAGUGGUAGGGGAGCGUUCUAAGGACAGUGAAGUCAGACCGGAAGGACUGGUGGAGUGCUUAGAAGUGAGAAUGCCGGUAUGAGUAGCGAAAGACGGGUGAGAAUCCCGUCCACCGAAUGCCUAAGGUUUCCUGAGGAAGGCUCGUCCGCUCAGGGUUAGUCAGGACCUAAGCCGAGGCCGACAGGCGUAGGCGAUGGACAACAGGUUGAUAUUCCUGUACCACCUCUUUAUCGUUUGAGCAAUGGAGGGACGCAGAAGGAUAGAAGAAGCGUGCGAUUGGUUGUGCACGUCCAAGCAGUUAGGCUGAUAAGUAGGCAAAUCCGCUUAUCGUAAAGGCUGAGCUGUGAUGGGGAAGCUCCUUAUGGAGCGAAGUCUUUGAUUCCCCGCUGCCAAGAAAAGCUUCUAGCGAGAUAAAAGGUGCCUGUACCGCAAACCGACACAGGUAGGCGAGGAGAGAAUCCUAAGGUGUGCGAGAGAACUCUGGUUAAGGAACUCGGCAAAAUGACCCCGUAACUUCGGGAGAAGGGGUGCUUUCUUAACGGAAAGCCGCAGUGAAUAGGCCCAAGCGACUGUUUAGCAAAAACACAGCUCUCUGCGAAGCCGUAAGGCGAAGUAUAGGGGGUGACACCUGCCCGGUGCUGGAAGGUUAAGGAGAGGGGUUAGCGUAAGCGAAGCUCUGAACUGAAGCCCCAGUAAACGGCGGCCGUAACUAUAACGGUCCUAAGGUAGCGAAAUUCCUUGUCGGGUAAGUUCCGACCCGCACGAAAGGUGUAACGAUUUGGGCACUGUCUCAACCAGAGACUCGGUGAAAUUAUAGUACCUGUGAAGAUGCAGGUUACCCGCGACAGGACGGAAAGACCCCGUGGAGCUUUACUGUAGCCUGAUAUUGAAUUUUGGUACAGUUUGUACAGGAUAGGCGGGAGCCAUUGAAACCGGAGCGCUAGCUUCGGUGGAGGCGCUGGUGGGAUACCGCCCUGACUGUAUUGAAAUUCUAACCUACGGGUCUUAUCGACCCGGGAGACAGUGUCAGGUGGGCAGUUUGACUGGGGCGGUCGCCUCCUAAAGUGUAACGGAGGCGCCCAAAGGUUCCCUCAGAAUGGUUGGAAAUCAUUCGUAGAGUGCAAAGGCAUAAGGGAGCUUGACUGCGAGACCUACAAGUCGAGCAGGGACGAAAGUCGGGCUUAGUGAUCCGGUGGUUCCGCAUGGAAGGGCCAUCGCUCAACGGAUAAAAGCUACCCCGGGGAUAACAGGCUUAUCUCCCCCAAGAGUCCACAUCGACGGGGAGGUUUGGCACCUCGAUGUCGGCUCAUCGCAUCCUGGGGCUGUAGUCGGUCCCAAGGGUUGGGCUGUUCGCCCAUUAAAGCGGUACGCGAGCUGGGUUCAGAACGUCGUGAGACAGUUCGGUCCCUAUCCGUCGUGGGCGUAGGAAAUUUGAGAGGAGCUGUCCUUAGUACGAGAGGACCGGGAUGGACGCACCGCUGGUGUACCAGUUGUUCUGCCAAGGGCAUAGCUGGGUAGCUAUGUGCGGAAGGGAUAAGUGCUGAAAGCAUCUAAGCAUGAAGCCCCCCUCAAGAUGAGAUUUCCCAUAGCGUAAGCUAGUAAGAUCCCUGAAAGAUGAUCAGGUUGAUAGGUUCGAGGUGGAAGCAUGGUGACAUGUGGAGCUGACGAAUACUAAUAGAUCGAGGACUUAACCAU